rnacentral:rRNA from 1 species
GAUGAACGCUGGCGGCGUGCCUAAUACAUGCAAGUCGAGCGAACAGACGAGGAGCUUGCUCCUCUGACGUUAGCGGCGGACGGGUGAGUAACACGUGGAUAACCUACCUAUAAGACUGGGAUAACUUCGGGAAACCGGAGCUAAUACCGGAUAACAUGUUGAACCGCAUGGUUCAACAGUGAAAGACGGUCUUGCUGUCACUUAUAGAUGGAUCCGCGCCGCAUUAGCUAGUUGGUAAGGUAACGGCUUACCAAGGCAACGAUGGGUAGCCGACCUGAGAGGGUGAUCGGCCACACUGGAACUGAGACACGGUCCAGACUCCUACGGGAGGCAGCAGUAGGGAAUCUUCCGCAAUGGGCGAAAGCCUGACGGAGCAACGCCGCGUGAGUGAAGAAGGUCUUCGGAUCGUAAAACUCUGUUAUUAGGGAAGAACAAAUGUGUAAGUAACUAUGCACGUCUUGACGGUACCUAAUCAGAAAGCCACGGCUAACUACGUG